rnacentral:rRNA from 1 species
AUUGAACGCUGGCGGCAGGCCUAACACAUGCAAGUCGAGCGGAGGAAGGGAGCUUGCUCCUGGAUUCAGCGGCGGACGGGUGAGUAAUGCCUAGGAAUCUGCCUGGUAGUGGGGGAUAACGUCCGGAAACGGGCGCUAAUACCGCAUACGUCCUGAGGGAGAAAGUGGGGGAUCUUCGGACCUCACGCUAUCAGAUGAGCCUAGGUCGGAUUGGCUAGUUGGUGGGGUAAAGGCCUACCAAGGCGACGAUACGUAACUGGUCUGAGAGGAUGAUCAGUCACACUGGAACUGAGACACGGUCCAGACUCCUACGGGAGGCAGCAGUGGGGAAUAUUGGACAAUGGGCGAAAGCCUGAUCCAGCCAUGCCGCGUGUGUGAAGAAGGUCUUCGGAUUGUAAAGCACUUUAAGUUGGGAGGAAGGGCAGUAAGUUAAUACCUUGCUGUUUUGACGUUACCAACAGAAUAAGCACCGGCUAACUUCGUG